rnacentral:rRNA from 1 species
GCCAUAUCCUGAACGGUGAACCCCGUGGAAGAAGCCCCAGCCACGGAACAGCUUUGCCUCUCCGCCCCCUCCUUUCUCCCCUAGGCCGACAGCGGCGCUCGUGUUCCUCUGCUCACCGUCGGUACAUUCGACGGGAUUUGCCCUUUCUCUUUCCCCUCACCCCAAACUCGGCGGCGGCACAUCUCCUCUCCGGCGCCAUGUCUGCCGGUGGACGGGUGGGUUGAUUCGAUGCAUCCCCUGGUUGUGGUGCCUCCAGUGGAGUCGCGGGCUUCAGUGAGUGUCGCGGAUGGCCACAUUUGUCGCGCUGCCGAUCCAGCAGUGCCCAACUCCGGUGAUUUCCAGUUGGACGGAAACAGGGGAUUUGAGGUGUGCUCUAAAGCUACGAGAAGAUGGACGAGAAGGCUAACAUACCCAUCAAAAGACAUGCAUGCAAGCUGUGUUUGAACAAUAUGGUGAGGCCUUGUACAAUUGUGGGGCGUAUGUGCUAGAUGAGAUAGAACCUUGAAGGAUGUACAUGGCGACACAUGUUGAUGCAUCAGCUAGAGAGAAGUAGAUCAAGGUUGAAUUCAAGAUAGAGGUGAAUGAUGUUGAAAGUUUCUUCAGUUGUGAGUGUGGAAACUUUGAACAAUCCGGCAUGAUCUAUUGUCAUGCACUCCAAGUGAUGAUACAUCUUCGUCUGUCGAAACCUGAGAAGAACUUCCUGAAGCAUGAGGCCCGUGAUAGGUAGCGUCCUCGAGCACUGUCAGAAUGCUUGUGGUAAGUUGAGUGUACGAUUUGAUCCUACCUCCCUAUUGUUUAGAGCUGAGGUGCCCUUGGUUACAAAACUCGUGCAACCCAAUGUAUUCAUGAUACGCUUGCGUGAUUGUUGAACCAUGUUGUGUUACUUGGUACGGUGGGACUUUGAUGAAUCUCAUUAUUUCUGUGACAUGAUGAUUGACUGGUCUAUUCCAGCUUAGUACUUUGUUUGUCAAGGAGUGCG